AGUGAACGCUGGCGGCAGGCCUAACACAUGCAAGUCGAACGGCAGCUCUGUAGCAACGCGGGCUUCCAGCUGCCGACGGGUGGAUGAGUGGUGAAAAUCUGCGUAUCUGUUGGGUAUAACGUAGGAAAGCUGGGGCUAAUACCUCAAAACUGCUACUGACGCACGAGUGGGAUCGCAAGGCCUUAGGAACUAGGAUGAGCGGACGACCGAUUAGCUAGUUGGUGGGGUAAAGGCCCACCAAGGCGACGAUCGGUAGCUGGUCUGAGAGGAUGAUCAGCCACACUGGGACUGAGACACGGCCCAGACUCCUACGGGAGGCAGCAGUGGGGAAUAUUGGACAAUGGGCGCAAGCCUGAUCCAGCCAUGCCGCGUGGGUGAAGAAGGCCUUCGGGUUGUAAAGCACUUUUGUUCGGAAAGAAAGCCCGUGAGCUAAUACCUUCGGGUUAUGACGGUACCGAAAGAAUAAGCACCGGCUAACUUCGUG
rnacentral:rRNA from 1 species